rnacentral:misc_RNA from 1 species
CUGAAUGGCCCCUCGGGGCCUUCAACCCUUCAAACCUGUGGAAGCAAACUCCGUGCUUCGGCGCCGCGUGCGUCGCUUUUAUGCAGAAGGCUUUGCGUCUGAAUCAUAAACAAGAAUUA